UCCAACCCCCAUUCACCUCUAUGCUGUCUUCCUUUCCUUCUCACCCUCUACCCCUUCUUUCCUCAGAGCUCCUGGAUCCCCUCUAGGUGUCAUCUGACAGCCUUUUCCUGGGGAGGGGGGCUGAAGUGGAGAGGGAGGAGGGAAUAAAAAGGGAUGAAGGAGGAAAAGCAGACAGACUAACAGACAAGGAGGGAGGGAGACACAGUCAGAGGAAGAGAUAGACACACUAUCGCAGCUAUGCCCGAAGCCAAGAAGCCAGCGGCCAAGACAGAUAAGGCUGCAGCAGCACCUGCUGAUAAGGGUGGGUGAGAACAGGGCAUGUGUGUGUGUUAACCUGUGUGUGUUUGUGUUAGUCAGUAGGGCAUAAUCAUCCCCUCAUCAUUCCAAUGUAAUGUCGGUUAACUGUUUUCCCUCACUCAGCGAAGCCAGCGGAGGAUCAUGGUAAGGCUUCUAAGACCAAUCACAGAAGUAGCUUUCUGUGGGGAUGAGACUGAGAGUGGCCAUGCAUGAUUCUCACCACGCGCCAUGACAGUGUUGAUCAGAUAGAACGCCAAUACACUUAACUUAGGCUUCACACGUUUAUAUUCAUGCCUAUCACAAUAUCCCACUGGUUUAUGCCUG